CUACCGGAUUCCCUUAGUAACGGCGAGUGAAGCGGGACAAGCUCAGACUGAAAAGCUUCGGCGUUGUAGAUCUGGAGAAGUGAAGUCAGCAUUAAGUUUCGGAUAAAGUCUCUUGGAACAGAGCGCCGUGGAGGGUGAUAGCCCCGUUCAUGUCUGAAACGAAGUGUGUACGACUCGCUUUCUAAGAGUCGAGUUGUUUGGGAUUGCAGCUCUAAGUGGGUGGUAAAUUCCAUCUAAAGCUAAAUAUAAAUGGGAGACCGAUAGCGAACAAGUACCGUGAGGGAAAGAUGCAAAGAACUUUGAAAAGAGAGUUAAAUAGUACCUGAAAUUGCUGAAAUGGAACCGAUGGGAAGCAGUGUCGGCUGGGUGGUACUUGUACCAUUUAGCAAGUUAGGCUUCUUUAAUUAUGUGGGAAAAGCUUCUAAACCAGUUUGGGUUAGUUUUGCUGUCAUGUGAUUGAAGGACUCUGACGAAAUGCUUCUUAUCAACCCGUCUUGAAACACGGACCAAGGAGUCUAACAUGUGUGCGAGUGCUCGGGGUAAAACUCCCAGCGCGGAAUUAACGUAAAGGUGGAUUUAUUCACUGAGGUAGGAUCUGUAAAGUGCACUAUCGACCGACCAUGAUCCUUCGGGAGAAAGGUUUGAGUGUGAGCAUACAUGUUGGGACCCGAAAGAUGGUGAACUAUGCCUGAGUAGGGCGAAGCCAGGGGAAACUCUGGUGGAGGCCCGCAGCGAUUCUAACGUGCAAAUUGAUCGUC
rnacentral:rRNA from 1 species